CAAAUGGAAACCAAUCUCAUCCGUUGAAAAAUGCCAAGGAACGUGUAAUUAAAAACCACUAAUGAGCUCGAUCCCAGUCAGCCGUAGCUGUCAAACCGUCUGAAACAUCUAAUUAGGCUGCACCGUAAAAUGUCGGGAGAUGAGUGGGGAAAACAGAUAGUGAGGUGGCAAGACAGGUGACAAAAGAGACCAAAACUAUGGCAAAUAUGGGAGUUCAUUAGACGACGUAAACAGACUUUUUGGCCAACGUUUUCGUUUCACUGGCACUGCCAGCAACGCUGCGUAUGCGUAAUUUAUGUUCCAGGUGUUUGCUCAACUGCUAAACGAAAUGCUAAUGCGGUAAACUGAAUGCAAAAACCAUUUUAAUUAGCACGAAAAUCAUUGUAACUCGUUAACGCUAGCGGCUGCCAUGGUAGUUAAAAUGGGUUGGAAGAAAAGCCAGUUUCACUUACCACCACCCAUCGACAUGCAGCCGAGGAAAAACAACUACAUGGGCACACCGCAAAAAGGAUUCGAACAUGGCCAACGACUGCAUCGGACAGCCUGCUGAUGAAGAGAUAAUAUUGUGAUCACGUUCGGCAACCUGCCGAAAUGCAAAUACUUCCUUUUGGAUCCCUUGGCAGGCAAACCGUCGGUCGGAAUUAUUUUGGAUAUGGGGCCAGGGAUCAGGUUAGUUAGCAAAACCGGGUAUGUAACCGGGAAUGCGCCUUCAAAUCUGACAAUGCCAAGUGCCAACUGCCAACACGAGGCACACACGGAGGCCGAAGGCCGACAGAUCUGGAAGCUCGUAGCUGCACUAAGAA